rnacentral:lncRNA from 1 species
AUGCAUGGAAGUGGGUUAAAACGAGUUACUCCCUUUCCUUGCUCUCCUGGUCUGUGCACUGGGGGGAUGUGGGUGGGGUGGGGGUGCACACGGGAGUUGGGCUGGGGACAGGAAGCGCACCACUGCUGCCCCCUCCCAAUGCCCUGCCUGGUGGAAUCUUGGCUUUUCGCGAGUAGCCGGACGGACAUCUUCGAGGCAGGAAGCAAAUCACGGGCAUGCCCUCCUGGACCAAGCUCUUCCUCCUGGAGGACUAGGGACAAGCCAGGACCUCUCUCCGGUCCACGGCAGCCCCGUCGGAGUGUGGGCCAUAGUCAGGCAAACCGGGGAGAGGCACACGUCCCAGACUGGUGGCCCUGGACCGUAGGGGCCGGGAACGACCGCGUUGCCUGGAAGCCAAAAGCCGAGACACUGCAGAGUUCAGUCUGGGACCCAGUGCACGGACUCUGUAUGCCAGGGCCCUGCUGUCAACCACAGGGGACACCACCGCAGGGGACCUUUUCUUUAGGGGGUGUUUUGUGGAGUGGGGGGGGGGGGUCUGGUCUAGUUGCUCCCUGAAAAACUCCUCUUACUCUGCAUGUAAGAGUCUUUUCUGUUCUACCCUAUCACCACAGCCCCAAAAUUGUUCCGGCUUUCUGCACAGCACUCCUCAUACCCCCAGAUUACUGAGCUAUAACUGCCAUACAACAUCGUAUUACUUUGUGAUUAGCUUUCUGAUGUAGGAAGGAUCUAAGCCCCUGGAGUUGUGUUUCAUGUUAAUUCUGACUUCCACUGUGCCUGUCUGCAAGCGAACACGAGAACCAUUGCAGGGGCUCAAGCCAAGUGGAUGUUUUUCUUGUUCCUCUUUGUGUGUUUGUUUGUUUGUUUGUUUUUUCCCACCAGAUUCUCAGGUAGGGAAUCUCUCCUUCUCCCUCUGUUCACGGUUCCCAACCCUUCCAAGCCCCUGGGGCAUACGCUACUCAGGCUUAGUUAGGGUCCUGUGUCCUGGCUGCAUCACUGAACAGAACAAGGCUCAUUUGUCCUAGUCCCUCUUCCAGUUAGUGGGUUAGGUCCCCAUGCAACUUUUCUUAUAUUCCUCAUAUCCUCCGACUCCCAAACCCGGCUCUCCUCUCCUUUAGCUAGACUCUUCUACCAGAAUUCAAGCAGAAGGUUCAGUGAAAGCCCAGGGGGUUACCCAGCACUUCGCUGGCAGAGUGAGGCUUAGAAGGCCCCACCCAGCACUGUCAGGACAGAAAAGAUGAGUGGGAACAUGGAAUAUUGUGAGUCUUCCAGGAAGCAAUAGUUCCAGAGAGAUAAGGCUUAUAUGAAAGGGGGAAACACCCCAAAUUACAUGUCACAAAUUUCAUAAAAACAAACCAAAAAGGGGUCAGGAUAAGACAUCAGAUAAAAGGCUAAUCAAAAAAUAAGUGGAAAGCUGCCUCCUUCAUUAUCCUUUAGGGAGCAAAUGCUUCACAAGAGAGAAACUAUGGCACACAGAAGAACACUUUCUACUGACAAAGCAAUUCCUAGUUAGUGCAGGAAACCCAGCACUACGUUGCCUGUAAAAACUGCAAAAUCAGGGAUGGAAUUUCCUUUGGUUAAAUCAACAGUCAUUUUGGACAUGCUAUUCUCUGGUACUAAUGGACUGAGGACUGUGCUUGACAGCGAUGAGCCAGGCACUCAGAAUCCAAACCUUCCUACUGAUCCCUCUCACCUCAGGCCCCAAAGGCAUGAUGAGGAGGAAAAAGUAGGCUCCUGACAUGGAGGGCUCACUGGGGGAUAAAAGUAGUAAGAACAGCAGUUAACAGUACUGCCUCAGGUUCGGGUUAAGCCCGUGCUUCCUAUGUAUUCUCUCACUGAAUCCCACAGUCUCUGCAGGGAGGUGUUAUUUGUUCUUAUUUUACAAAUGAAGCAACUAAGUCACAGAGAAUUAAGUAGUUUGUCCAGUGUAGUGAAAUGGGAAGCAAAUAGGUACCAUGAUUGAACUUGCAUUCUAAAAGGGUCACCCUAAUUGCUCUGUUUACAUUGUAGAGGGCCUAGGACAGCAGGAUGGAGGUUACAGCAGUAAUCCAGCCAAGAGAGGAUGACAAGGAGGUGGUGAGAAGUGGUAAGUAUGUUGGUCUUUAUUUUUCUAUAUUAUACAGAUCAGAUGUGGGGUGUGAGAGAGAAGUAGUCAAGGAUCAUUCCAAGGUUUCUGGCCUAAGCAACUAACUAGUGGAAAUAUGCAGUUGCCAUUAACUGACUUAGGAAAUGUUCUGGCUCCAGCGUAUUUUCAGGGGAAGAUCAAUAGUUUAGUUUUGGGUAUGUUGAGCUUGAGAUGUCGACUGGACAAUAAAUGAAAAUGUCAAGUCACCAACUGGAUAUACAAGCCUAGAGUUCACAGAAGCCUGGGUUGGGAUAUAUAUAUUUGAAAAUCAUCAAUUUACAGAUGGUGUUGAAAACCUUGAUACCUGAAAAGAUAACCCAGAGGCUCAGGGUAGAGAAACAACAGCAGAGGACUUAAGACUGAGAUAUGGGGGCAUUCUGGCAUGAAGAAGUCAGGGGGAGGGGAAGAAACAGCAAAGACUGAAAAGAAGCUACCAGUAACACAGAAGGAAAACUUAAAAAGUGGCGUCCUUAAAACCAAGUGAACGAAACCUAUCGAGGAGGAAGUAAUCAGUUGUACCAAAAAGAGGCUGGGAGCUAAGACGGUAAUUGACCAGUCAAUAUAGCAACAUGAAGGUCACCGUCCAUUUGACAAGAGCAAAUUAAGUAGAAUGGUAGCUGUAAAAUUCUGUAUGGAGAGUGGAUGUAAAAUAGAAAAUGGACAGGAACUGGAGACAAGGGAGUACAGAAAACGUCAGUUCUGAUGUAAAAGGAAGCAAAGAAAUGAACAGCAGGGCUGGACAACGAGAAUCAAGGAGCAGGGGGCUGUGUGUGCGUGUUAAUUAAGACAGAAGACCUAAAGGUUUAUCUGUUGGUUGACAGGAAAGGUCCUGCUGGAGAGCAAAAUCCAAUGAUGCAGGAGACGUGCGGAGAUGGAACUGGGUACCCACGGGAAGGAAACGCCUUCAGAUAGGAGCAUAGACACGGACUCCUGUUACCCACUUUCUAUCAUGAGACAUGAGGCUAUCAGGGCUGCGACACUCCCCUCUACUACUCUCUCAAAAACUACGUAAUAAUUUCUGGUUAAGGUCACAUUCUGUAAGUUUCCACUAUUAAGACAAUAUAAAUACCACAUAUUUACAUUUUCUUACACAACUUAUUUUUUGUUAUUGUAGCUAGAGUUAGUAAUAACCUCAUAUAUUUUUAAAUUAGACUCGACUUUUUAAGAGUUUUUUUUAAAGAUUUUAUUUAUUUAUUUGACAGGUUGAGCAAGAUCACAAGUAGGCAGAGAGACAGGCAGAGAGAGAGAGAAGGAAGCAGGCUCCCCGCUGAGCAGAGAGCCCGAUGCAGGGCUCGAUCCCAGGACCCUGAGAUCAUGACCUGAGCCCAAGGCAGACACUUACCCACCCCGAGCUACCCAAGUGCCCUUUGACUCUAGCUUUUAGAGCAGUUUUAGGAUUACGGAAAAACUGAGCCGAAAGUAGAAUCCCCAUGUGUCCUCUCCCUCUCCUACAGUUCUCCCUAUUAAAAUCUUGCUCUUGUAACUGCGGUACAUUUGUUGCAAUUAAUGAACUGGGAUUCACUGACUGUUACUAAUUAAAGUCUUCAGCUUGCACUAAGGUUCACUCUUCGUGUUGUACUUUCUAUGGGUUUUGAUGAAUGCGUAAUGACAGAUACCCACUGUCCAUCAAAUGCAGAACCGUCCCGUUACCGUAAACCCCCUGCCCCACUUACUUACCCUCCCUACCUUCCCCCAAUCUUUUUACUACCUUCAAUCUCGCCUUUUCACAAUGUCAUAGAGUUGGAACCAUAAAACAUGCAGCCUUUUCUUUUUUUAUAUAAGAGAUUUUUAAAAAAUAUAUCUAUUUGAGAGAGAAAGAGCACAACACAAGUUGGGGGGGUGCAGAGAGAGAGGAAGAAGCAGAUUCCCCAUUGAGGAGGAAGUCCAAUGCAGGGCUCGAUCCCAGGACCCCACGGUCGUGACCUGAGCUGAGGAUAGGCAUUUCACCGACCGAGGCACCGAGGUGGCCCUCUAUAGCAUUUCCUUUGGAGUCUGUCAGUUCCAUGUCUAUGCCUACAUUUCCCCGGUGUUCUUGCAUGUCAGCCAUUUCCCAUCAAAGUCCUUACCGUAUUCAUCAUAGCUCUUUUAACAAUUUUUUUAAAUUUAUUUAUUUGGGGGCGCCUGGGUGGCUCCAUGGGUUAAAG